AAUCCAUAGGUUAAUGAGGCGAACCGGGGGAACUGAAACAUCUAAGUACCCCGAGGAAAAGAAAUCAACCGAGAUUCCCCCAGUAGCGGCGAGCGAACGGGGAGGAGCCCAGAGCCUGAAUCAGCAUGUGUGUUAGUGGAAGCGUCUGGAAAGGCGCGCGAUACAGGGUGACAGCCCCGUACACAAAAGCGCAUGUGCUGUGAGCUCGAUGAGUAGGGCGGGACACGUGGUAUCCUGUCUGAAUAUGGGGGGACCAUCCUCCAAGGCUAAAUACUCCUGACUGACCGAUAGUGAACCAGUACCGUGAGGGAAAGGC
rnacentral:rRNA from 1 species